ACACUUGAAUAUUUGGGGUCACAUGACAUGAGAUGGUGCUGAAAAUGUUGGGAGAGUGAACAAAAACCCAGGAUUCAAGGGCCAAUGUUUUGGAGUACCAAAACAGUGCCAAUUCAACACGCAUCGUCCCAUGCCAAGAUGCAAAUUUCAGUAGUACCCCCAGGUCCCCCAAUUGCUUGCUGCCCAUUUGAAAACAAGGGAAGAUGCCAAGAUUUGGCCUGAACUCACACUAAGAUCAAGGAGAGCAAUAUGGACCACUUCUUAUCCUUGCUGCUCCUGCAUUUGGUGAUUCAGACAACAUGACGAGCAAACGGUCCGCAUCUGAAAUCAAAGGAUGAAAUAUAAUGGAGUGCAGAAGUUAAUAUAAUCAGGCAUGUCAAAUUUACAUAUUUGUUUUUAGAUAAUGUCAAACUUUCAGAUGGAGUGAAAACAAAUGGCAAUCUGAAAGUUUUUAUAUAUAUAUAUGGAGCCUGAGUUUGUUGACAGUUCUUGUGAUGGACUGAGACAUAAAGAAAUCUUCGAAUACAAGCAAAUAACAGAUUAUGGAGUUUGUAAUUUGCAGAAUUUGUACAAUCGAAUAUCAUAAAGAAAUCUCAAAUUCAGAAUUGUACUUUGCAGAGAGAGCUUCAGUACCUCUUAUGGAGUUUUGCUGAUACAGUGCUCUUCAAACAAACAUCAGCAUGAACACGCAAUGAUGAUAGCAUCUAGUAACACUG
rnacentral:lncRNA from 1 species